rnacentral:rRNA from 1 species
UACAGAGGUCCCAAGCGUUGUUCGGAUUCACUGGGCGUAAAGGGUGCGUAGGCGGUCUGUCGCGUCGGCUGUGAAAACCCGGAGCUCAACUCCGGGCCUGCAGUCGAUACGGGCAGACUGGAGUUCGGCAGGGGAGACUGGAAUUCCUGGUGUAGCGGUGAAAUGCGCAGAUAUCAGGAGGAACACCGGUGGCGAAGGCGGGUCUCUGGGCCGAUACUGACGCUGAGGAGCGAAAGCGUGGGGAGCGGACAGG